CCUGCCAGUAGCAUAUGCUUGUCUCUGAGACUAAGCCAUGCAUGUCUAAGUAUAAACAAAUUUGUACUGUAAAACUGCGGACGGCUCAUUAAAUCAGUUACAAUCUACUUGAUCGUAUAUUCAAAGAAUUAAUCGGGUAACCCUAGUAAUUCUAGAGCUAAUACGUGCAAAAAGCUCCGACCUCUUCUUUUAGGGGAAGAGUGUAUUUAUUAGGUAACUUAAAACCAAUCAGCCCAAAAGGCUGUUUUGUUGAUGAUUCAUAAUAACUUUUGCAAAUCGCGGGCCAAUGUCUGCGAUGAUACAACGAGUUUCUGACCUAUCAACUUUAGAUGGCAGGAUAGGGGCUUGCCAUGGUGACAACGGGUGACGGGGGAAUUAGGGGUUCAGUUCCGGAGAGGGAGCCUGAGAACGGCUACCACUUCCAA
rnacentral:rRNA from 1 species